UGAUAACGACAGGGGAGCGCCGCCGUCGAACCUGCAGGCAUGCAGGAGACGCGAGGGCGCUGAGAGUGCGGACAGCCGCAGACCCUCGAACCUGAUCCGGUUAGUACCGGCGCAAGGGAGUCGAGCUUCUCAGAGU
rnacentral:ncRNA from 2 species